AUUGAACGCUGGCGGCAGGCCUAACACAUGCAAGUCGAGCGAGCGGCGGACGGGUGUGUAAUGUAUGGGGACUGCCCGAUAGAGGGGGAUAACUACUGGAAACGGUGGCUAAUACCGCAUACUAUCGGAUAACCCAUAUGGGAUUAGCUAGUAGGUGGGGUAAAGGCUCACCAAGGCGACGAGCUCUAGCUGGUCUGAGAGGUUGAUUGGCCAACCGGGGACUGGGCAACGGCCAGGACUCUUAGGGAGUCAGCAGUGGGGAAUAUUGCACAAUGGGGGCAAGCCUGCUGCAGCAAUGCCGCGUGGAUGAAGAAGGCCUUAGGGUGGUAAAGUACUUUCAGCGGGGAGGCGUUACCCGCAGAAGAAGCACCGGCUAACUCCGUGCCAGCAGCCGCGGUAAUUC
rnacentral:rRNA from 1 species